GAUAAACGCUGGCGGCGUGCCUAACACAUGCAAGUCGAACGUCCUCUGCUUGCUUCGGCAAGGAGAGGGAGUGGCGGACGGGUGAGUGACCCAUGGGUGACCUACCCCCAAGUGAGGGAUACCGGCGAGAAAUCGCCGACAAACCCGCAUCAGGUCUCUCUGGUGAAGCGGAGAGAGCAAAGGUUGACUCGCGAGAGUGAGCCGCUUAGGGAUGGGCCUGUGGCCGAUUAGCUAGUUGGUGGGGUAAGAGCCUACCAAGGCCACGAUCGG
rnacentral:rRNA from 1 species